GACAGAGGGUGCAAACGUUGUUCGGAAUUACUGGGCGUAAAGCGCGUGUAGGCAGCUCAGUAAGUCGGAUGUGAAAGCCCUGGGCUUAACCUAGGAAGUGCAUUCGAAACUUCUGAGCUUGAGUUCUGGAGAGGAAGGCGGAAUUCUCGGUGUAGAGGUGAAAUGUGUAGAGAUCGGGAGGAACACCGGUGGCGAAGGCGGCCUUCUGGACGGUGACUGACGCUGAGGCGCGAAAGCGUGGGGAGCAAACGGG
rnacentral:rRNA from 1 species